CAGGAUAUACAGGGAGAAAGCCUAUAGUGAAGAAAAGACACUAAAUAUUGACAUGCCAUUGAAUCAAAAUAAUUCAGUAUCUAUACAACAUCAGUAUUGUAAUCAUAAUAAGACAUACAGAAAUAUUAAAAUUUUAAUUGAUCCAGUUGUAUCAUUAUUAUCCUUCAAACCCAAAUGGACCAGGUAUCACUGAUAUGACAGAGUCUGGAAAAGAGAAGAUCCCACACAUGAAUAUACAAGACCUGAUUCUUUCUGCAUUUGUGCCCAACACAGUCUCCAUUAACAUCAGAGACCACAGACUGACAUCUGUGUGAAUGACAUGAUAACCAAGACAGUAAAAAUGGUUGGGACUUCCCAUCUCUAAAUAGGCUGAUUUUUCAAACUGGAAGCAAAUUUGAAGUACAGCAGCCUUCUGCAAUGCCUUGACCUGCCCAUUCAAUGUGUCCAAGCAUUACAUGUUAGCUUCGAAGCUGUAUCUGGGGUGGCAGCUGCAGCAGACCCUGCUGGCAUAACCUCAGGCACCACCAUGGCACAGUCAAAGUGGGUUGAUACCAACACUGACAGCCCGGAUCUCAGCAUGAGCUCAUUCAGCCACCUUCUUGGGAAAGCACUGGCUGAGUCCAGCAUUUUCCUGAGGAGGUCGGUGGACUUUAUAAGAGUGUCUGAAUGCUGCUCAGAAAAUAAUGACGGUAAGCCAAGAAGAGGUGGAAAUACCUGACUGUGAGAAGUGAUCUAUGAGAAAAAAAUCUGCUCUACAGCUGGAGAUAUUUCCUCCAUUGUGGAUCAGAAACUGCCGCAGUUAUUGGACCUAUGUAACCUAUACAGAAAUCACCAGACUGGAGUUUUCUGGACUCUCUUUUUACCCCAGGCAUCAAUGUUGUAAUGAACUCUGAAGAUACUUCCAGGUAGUUUUAUCUUGGCUUAUUUAUGAUCUGCUCCUACACCACUUUUUCUGAACGAUGCACUCCCCAUCACCCCGGUACGCCAGGUCAUUAAAUUAAUGAUUCAGCCAAACUGGCUUUGACUCCCCAGAUCUAAUCAAGUUCAAACCCAUUGCCUUAACUGUAUUUGUGCCAUUUUCAUCAAACACUCAUAGCCUGAAUUGCUGUCUGCUAGCACAGCUCCAAUGGUGCUUGCUAACCCCCCAAAUGCAAUUAACAUUUUCCAGGCUGCUUUGGAGCACAGAAAUUGUUUAUAAGGUUUCAAAUUCUGUCAUCACCUCUGUUCCUGGAUCUCUAGAGGAUGAACAAUCUCUCUGAAGCCCUUGAGGCAUUGUGACUGAGCACACCACAACCUAAAAUCUGUCAUAAGAAAUCCACUGCUCUGUAAAAGAUUUUCUCUCCACUCUCUCUGCAGUGCUGAAUGGGCAUUAGUGGUGCAUAACUCUUAGGUAAAGAGUCCUCAUGUUAUGUAUAAUCACUCUGUGCAUGAGCAGACAAUGAGGUAGUUCAUAUUUCUGCUUGAUACCUGUAUUGUCAUAAGUGUUUGACCUUUUAUAACUUUCAGAGCACCACUACUAUGUGAUAAUGCCAAAACAGAAAAGGGCUAUGAGAGAAUAAAUGUAUUUGUGUAAAAGCUGAUGCA
ensembl:lncRNA